rnacentral:rRNA from 1 species
UACGAAGGGGUCUAGCGUUGCUCGGAAUUACUGGGCGUAAAGGGCGCGUAGGCGGAUAUUUAAGUUAGAGGUGAAAGCCCAGGGCUCAACCCUGGAAUAGCCUUUAAUACUGGAUAUCUUGAGUUCGGGAGAGGUGAGUGGAACUCCGAGUGUAGAGGUGAAAUUCGUAGAUAUUCGGAAGAACACCAGUGGCGAAGGCGACUCACUGGCCCGAUACUGACGCUGAGGCGCGAAAGCGUGGGGAGCAAACAGG